rnacentral:misc_RNA from 1 species
UGAACAUGGCGGCAACGACGGAAGCAGCCCCAAAGAAGGAGGAGCUCGACGGAAUGGCAACAUAUGACGACGAGGACGAGUACGAAUCAAAGGAGAGGGUAAUCCAGAAGUACUUCCUUCAAGAAUGGAAGCUCGUUAAGUCCAUUCUCGAUGACAUCGUUUCCAAUGGAUGCGUCUCCGACAUCUCAUCCGUCCACAAGAUCCGAUCCAUUAUGGACAAGUAUCAAGAACAGGGUCAGUUGGUAGAGCCCUAUUUGGAGAUCAUAGUCUCUCCUUUGAUGUCCCUUGUUUGUUCAAAA